ACAACAUGAACUUGAGCCAUGUGAAAUGAAGAACAAAAUAUAAUGGUGAACCAUUCCUGUAUGGUGCUACAACAUGCACAUGAGCCAUGUGAAAUGAAGAACAAAAUAUAAUGGUGAACCAUUCCUGUAUGGUGCUACAACAUGCACUUGAAAUGAAGAACAAAAUAUAAUGGUGAACCAUUCCUGUAUGGUGCUACAACAUGAACUUGAGCCAUGUGAAAUGAAGAACAAAAUAUAAUGGUGAACCAUUCCUGUAUGGUGCUACAACAUGCACUUGAAAUUAAGAACAAAAUAUAAUGGUGAACAAUUCCUUAAUGGUAAUAGAAUACAAAGCUAAACUAAACAAUGUAACGCAAUAAGGUUAUUGUAUACAAUGUUUGAUGUUUCCUGAAAUCCAAUAGUCAUUGAAAUUGCUGUUUUCAAAUACUUAGUAAACUCAACUUAUAACAUAACCCUCCCUUGGCUAACUUUAUUUUUAGAAUUGGGUAGAAAAGAUACAAGGUGAAUAUGAAAAACCAUAAUAGUCUUUGACAUAAUGAUCUAUUUAAGUUCUAAUAUUUUAUCUUUAUAAAUCUUCAGCUGGAGAGCACAAUCUGAUUGCUUUCUUUGGCAAAUGUUAUCACCUGUCAUGAUUAAUCUGUAUAAAAAUUUCCAUUGUUGGGUCAAUGGAUUUUGCAAAUUGCAUUCAGGUUGUGUUUCCCGAGGGGAGGGGGGGUGAUAAAGAAGUGUUUCCAUGGCAACUUUCCAGCAUUAUUGAUGUGUCCAACAAUUGAUAUAGAGCCCCUCCAAUGCGAUUCAAUGUUUCUUUGGUAACUGCUAUGCAGAAUCUGUUCAAGUUUUGAGGGAAUCAGGAAAAGUAACAGGUCUUCUGUUUAAACUUGUGGGAGAAGGAAACAGCUUCGGUACAUUACCAGACCUGAAUAAAAAAGUUGUUGAAAGAACGGUUUCAUUUGGAGACACGUGUCAGGAUGUCAUGACGUGUUUUGGUUCACCUUGUAAAGUAUUUUAUAAAGCUGAAGAUAAGAUGCGUAUCCAUUCUCCCUAUACAUACAAACUUAAUUAAUCAAAUAGAUCCUUCUAUUUCUUCAACUAAUUUUACACUUGGCGUGGGCGAACUCGAUGUUAAAUUCGAGACUAGUGGACAAAAUUUCUCUUGGUAUUGUGGAAGCUCGAGAAGAGAAGUGGUUUUGGACAAACCGGCAAAUAAAGCACGAGUGUAUUAUCGAAAAAAUGAAGACGUAGAAAUAUUCAUUGAAGAUUGUCCCCAGGUUAAGUCUAAAAAAUUCAGUGUUACAGCUGGUAAAAGUGUUUGUUACGACGAAAGUUUUUCUUAUGCGUGUCCUGGAAUAGAAGGAAAAAGUCAUCCUUGCAGUUAUGAACUAACAAUUAACAAAAAAACAACUAAAGUAUCUCAGGUAUCUGUCGGAUUGACCCUGAAAAUCGUA